GCGCCUGUAGCUCAGCUGGAUAGAGCAGCGGCCUUCUAAGCCGCGGGUCAGAGGUUCAAGUCCUCUCAGGCGCG
rnacentral:tRNA from 1 species